AAAUGUGAGGGCAAUCUGGCUGCAACGUCUUUCACCCCAUUGCUUGCAGUGUUUAUUUGGUUGAUCUGGCUGGUUAGGCAGAUGUCCCCUUCCUCCCUCACCACUCCAUGUGUAUUUCUACCAAAGCUGUGCCCUCAGUCAAAUCUUUUUGGUAAGACUAAAAGUCUUACCAAAGAACUAAAUCCGUUUUAGUUUUUUGUA
rnacentral:snRNA from 1 species